rnacentral:rRNA from 1 species
CCUACGGGAGGCAGCAGUGAGGAAUAUUGGACAAUGGACGAAAGUCUGAUCCAGCCAUGCCGCGUGCAGGAUGACUGCCCUAUGGGUUGUAAACUGCUUUUAUACAGGAAGAAACACCCCGACGUGUCGGGGCUUGACGGUACUGUACGAAUAAGGAUCGGCUAACUCCGUGCCAGCAGCCGCGGUAAUACGGAGGAUCCAAGCGUUAUCCGGAAUCAUUGGGUUUAAAGGGUCCGCAGGCGGUUUUUUAAGUCAGAGGUGAAAGCCUACAGCUCAACUGUAGAACUGCCUUUGAUACUG